rnacentral:rRNA from 1 species
UACAGAGGGGGCAAGCGUUGUUCGGAAUUACUGGGCGUAAAGGGCGCGUAGGCGGCCUUCUAAGUCGAACGUGAAAUCCCCGGGCUCAACCCGGGAGCUGCGUCCGAUACUGGAAGGCUUGAAUCCGGGAGAGGGAUGUGGAAUUCCAGGUGUAGCGGUGAAAUGCGUAGAUAUCUGGAGGAACACCGGUGGCGAAGGCGACAUCCUGGACCGGUAUUGACGCUGAGGCGCGAAAGCCAGGGGAGCAAACGGG